AAAGUCGUAACAAGGUAACCGUAGGUGAACCUGCGGUUGGAUCAUUACAAAGUUUUUGGCCGGCAGCUCCUCCUCGUGGGGAGCCCGCUGGUCUUCAACCCCCUUGUGCAAACGUGAAUAUUUCUGGGUGUUCUUUGGGCCCUCUGAUGAGCUUUGGCAGUCAAAUGCCGGGGCAGGAGGGAUUCAACCACCCACCCUUAUAAACCCCUUGAUAAAUUGUCUGAUAUUAUGAAAAUAAUUAUAAACAACUUUUGACAACGGAUCUCUUGGCUCUC
rnacentral:misc_RNA from 1 species